GGGGAAACGACAUCGAAAGCUUGCUUUUGAUGGGCGUCGACCGGCGCACGGGUGAGUAACGCGUAUCCAACCUGCCCACCACUUGGGAAUAACCUUGCGAAAGUAAGACUAAUACCCAAUGACGUCUCUAGAAGACAUCUGAAAGAGAUUAAAGAUUUAUCGGUGAUGGAUGGGGAUGCGUCUGAUUAGCUGUUGGCGGGGUAACGGCCCACCAAGGCGACGAUCAGUAGGGGUUCUGAGAGGAAGGUCCCCCACAUUGGAACUGAGACACGGUCCAAACUCCUACGGGAGGCAGCAGUGAGGAAUAUUGGUCAAUGGGCGAGAGCCUGAACCAGCCAAGUAGCGUGCAGGAUGACGGCCCUAUGGGUUGUAAACUGCUUUUAUAAGGGAAUAAAGUGGGAGUCGUGACUCCUUUUGCAUGUACCUUAUGAAUAAGGACCGGCUAAUUCCGUGCCAGCAGCCGCGGUAAUACGGAAGGUCCGGGCGUUAUCCGGAUUUAUUGGGUUUAAAGGGAGCGUAGGCCGGAGAUUAAGCGUGUUGUGAAAUGUAGAUGCUCAACGUCUGCACUGCAGCGCGAACUGGUUUCCUUGAGUACGCACAAAGUGGGCGGAAUUCGUGGUGUAGCGGUGAAAUGCUUAGAUAUCACGAAGAACUCCGAUUGCGAAGGCAGCUCACUGGAGCGCAACUGACGCUGAAGCUCGAAAGUGCGGGUAUCGAACAGGAUUAGAUACCCUGGUAGUCCGCACGGUAAACGAUGGAUGCCCGCUGUUGGUCUGAAUAGGUCAGCGGCCAAGCGAAAGCAUUAAGCAUCCCACCUGGGGAGUACGCCGGCAACGGUGAAACUCAAAGGAAUUGACGGAA
rnacentral:rRNA from 1 species